ACGAACGCUGGCGGCGUGCUUAACACAUGCAAGUCGAACGGAAAGGCCCUGCUUUUGUGGGGUGCUCGAGUGGCGAACGGGGGAGUAACACGUGAGUAACCUGCCCUUGACUUUGGGAUAACUUCAGGAAACUGGGGCUAAUACCGGAUAGGAGCUCCUGCUGCAUGGUGGGGGUUGGAAAGUUUCGGCGGUUGGGGAUGGACUCGCGGCUUAUCAGCUUGUUGGUGGGGUAGUGGCUUACCAAGGCUUUGACGGGUAGCCGGCCUGAGAGGGUGACCGGCCACAUUGGGCCUGAGAUACGGCCCAGACUCCUACGGGAGGCAGCAGUGGGGAAUAUUGCACAAUGGGCGGAAGCCUGAUGCAGCAACGCCGCGUGCGGGAUGACGGCCUUCGGGUUGUAAACCGCUUUCGCCUGUGACGAAGCGUGAGUGACGGUAAUGGGUAAAGAAGCGCCGGCUAACUACGUG
rnacentral:rRNA from 1 species